rnacentral:rRNA from 1 species
UACAGAGGGUGCAAGCGUUGUUCGGAAUUACUGGGCGUAAAGCGCGCGCAGGCGGUCCUUUAAGUCAGGGGUGAAAGCCCAGAGCUCAACUCUGGAACUGCCUUUGAAACUAGAGGACUUGGGUACGGGAGAGGUGAGUGGAAUUCCGAGUGUAGAGGUGAAAUUCGUAGAUAUUCGGAAGAACACCAGUGGCGAAGGCGGCUCACUGGCCCGUUACCGACGCUCAGGCGCGACAGCGUGGGGAGCAAACAGG